CGUACUAGCAUAAUUCUGUCAUUCAAGAACCCGUUGCCUCAUUCCACACAAUUCGACAUCGACGAGCAAUGACUACUUCAGUGGCUGCCAUGGCAGCGCGCAGAGCUGCGAAUAUCGCUCGCCUCGCACCUUCGAGUUCAUCAGCUUCUCGGACGGCUCUGCUGAUUCCGCGCCGAGGGCUCGCCGGCGCUGCCGAUCACCACGGACCACCGAAGGUCAAUAUCUGGCAAGAUCCGUUGACUCCGUCUAGAUGGAAAGAAGAGCAUUUUGUGAUUGCAUCUUUAUCCGGAUGGGGUUUGCUUUUCUUUGGGGCAUACAAGCUCUUCACUGGAGGCAAAAAGGAUAAGGAAGAGGUUUGAUGUCAUUUCGCAAGCAACACAAGUUGGAAAAUGUUAUUUGAAAUUGGCACUUGAAAUUGGUUGAAGCAACGCAGUAGACCAGACCCAAGUUCUAAUCAUGUGCCUGCCCUAAAUUAAUAUUCUGUGUUUGUUUUGUAUGGCUUCGGAAUUUUUUUGAGGUUUGUACUGAGAAAGAAUGUGGCCUCCUUUCUCUUACAUGUUUUCUUCACAUAUUUUUUGUUUGUAAUAAUGAUGUCACCUUUUAAAUACGUCAAAGGUUCUCAUUUCUUAUUUA